CGGGAGGGGCAAGCGUUGUUCGGAAUUACUGGGCGUAAAGGGCUCGUAGGCGGCCAACUAAGUCCGACGUGAAAUCCCCAGGCUUAACCUGGGAACUGCGUCGGAUACUGGAUGGCUUGAAUUCGGGAGAGGGAUGCAGAAUUCCAGGUGUAGCGGUGAAAUGCGUAGAUAUCUGGAGGAAUACCGGUGGCGAAGGCGGCAUCCUGGACCGGCAUUGACGCUGAGUGAGCGAAAGCUAGGGGAGCAAACGGGAUUAGAUACCCCGGUAGUCCUAGCCCUAAACGAUGAAUGCUUGGUGUGGCGGGUAUCGAUCCCUGCCGUGCCGAAACUAACGCAUUAAGCAUUCCGCCUGGGGAGUACGGUCGCAAGGCUG
rnacentral:rRNA from 1 species